rnacentral:rRNA from 1 species
AACGAACGCUGGCGGCAGGCCUAACACAUGCAAGUCGAACGCUCUAGCAAUAGAGAGUGGCAGACGGGUGAGUAACGCGUGGGAACCUACCUAGUGGUACGGAAUAGCUCAGGGAAACUUGGGGUAAUACCGUAUGCGCCCGAAAGGGGAAAGAUUUAUCGCCAUUAGAUGGGCCCGCGUAGGAUUAGCUAGUUGGUGAGGUAAUGGCUCACCAAGGCAACGAUCCUUAGCUGGUUUGAGAGAAUGACCAGCCACACUGGGACUGAGACACGGCCCAGACUCCUACGGGAGGCAGCAGUGGGGAAUCUUGGACAAUGGGCGCAAGCCUGAUCCAGCCAUGCCGCGUGAGUGACGAAGGCCUUAGGGUUGUAAAGCUCUUUUGGCGGGGACGAUAAUGACGGUACCCG